UUUCCCUACGGGGGGCAGCAGUGAGGAAUAUUGGUCAAUGGGCGCGAGCCUGAACCAGCCAAGUAGCGUGAAGGAUGACUGCCCUACGGGUUGUAAACUUCUUUUAUAAAGGAAUAAAGUGAGGCACGUGUGCCUUUUUGUAUGUACUUUAUGAAUAAGGAUCGGCUAACUCCGUGCCAGCAGCCGCGGUAAUACGGAGGAUCCAAGCGUUAUCCGGAUUUAUUGGGUUUAAAGGGUGCGUAGGCGGUUUAGUAAGUCAGCGGUGAAAUUUUGGUGCUCAACACCAAACGUGCCGUUGAUACUGG
rnacentral:rRNA from 1 species